GGUUAAGCGACUAAGCGUACACGGUGGAUGCCCUGGCAGUCAGAGGCGAUGAAGGGCGUGCUAAUCUGCGAUAAGCGCCGGUAAGGUGAUAUGAACCGUUAUAACCGGCGAUACCCGAAUGGGGAAACCCAGUGUGAUUCGUCACACUAUCAUUAACUGAAUCCAUAGGUUAAUGAGGCGAACCGGGGGAACUGAAACAUCUAAGUACCCCGAGGAAAAGAAAUCAACCGAGAUUCCCCCAGUAGCGGCGAGCGAACGGGGAGGAGCCCAGAGCCUGAAUCAGCAUGUGUGUUAGUGGAAGCGUCUGGAAAGGCGCGCGAUACAGGGUGACAGCCCCGUACACAAAAGCGCAUGUGCUGUGAGCUCGAUGAGUAGGGCGGGACACGUGGUAUCCUGUCUGAAUAUGGGGGGACCAUCCUCCAAGGCUAAAUACUCCUGACUGACCGAUAGUGAACCAGUACCGUGAGGGAAAGGCGAAAAGAACCCCGGCGAGGGGAGUGAAAAAGAACCUGAAACCGUGUACGUACAAGCAGUGGGAGCACCCUUUGGGUGUGACUGCGUACCUUUU
rnacentral:rRNA from 1 species